rnacentral:rRNA from 1 species
UACGGGGGGGAGCAAGCGUUGUUCGGAUUUACUGGGCGUAAAGGGCGCGUAGGCGGCGUGACAAGUCACUUGUGAAAUCUCCGGGCUUAACUCGGAACGGUCAAGUGAUACUGUCGUGCUAGAGUACAGAAGGGGCAACUGGAAUUCUCGGUGUAGCGGUGAAAUGCGUAGAUAUCGAGAGGAACACCUGCGGCGAAGGCGGGUUGCUGGGCUGAUACUGACGCUGAGGCGCGAAAGCUAGGGGAGCGAACAGG